AUGCCAGCACGCCUUAGAUCAAUGCUCCACGGUCAAGUGCAGGGGCCACGGGCACUCCUCUGGAGACACUGCGAGAAUGUCAGCCACUGGCAGCGGCCUCUGAGCUGCCUGUGGGCCUCGUGCCGGCGCGCGGCGUGGGGCCGGCAUCUCAGCGGGCGCGGGUGCAGUCCCGCCCCACGCGCGGUCCGAACGCCCGCGAACCCGGUCUCUGGGGCAGGCAGGGGCCGCGGCCGAGAGAAACGUCAGCGGUCUGGCGGGGCCACCUCCUCCCAACCGAGGGAAGCGGGGCCGCGGCAGGAGAGG
rnacentral:lncRNA from 1 species